GGACAAGCGAAUAAGUGCACAUGGUGGAUGCCUUGGCGAUUACAGGCGAUGAAGGACGUAGUAGCUUGCGAUAAGCUGCGGGGAGUGAGCAAACACACUUUGAUCCGCAGAUUUCCGAAUGGGGAAACCCGGCCCUUUGGGUCAUUGCAUGCUGAAUACAUAGGCAUGCAAAGCGAACGCGGCGAACUGAAACAUCUAAGUAGCUGCAGGAAAAGAAAUCAACCGAGAUUCCCAAAGUAGUGGCGAGCGAAAUGGGAAGAGCCUGUACGUGAUAGUCGA
rnacentral:rRNA from 2 species